UACGUAGGUGGCAAGCGUUGUCCGGAUUUAUUGGGCGUAAAGAGCGUGUAGGCGGCCAGACAGGUCCGUUGUGAAAACUCGAGGCUCAACCUCGAGAUGUCGAUGGAAACCGUCUGGCUAGAGUCCGGAAGAGGAGUGUGGAAUUCCUGGUGUAGCGGUGAAAUGCGCAGAUAUCAGGAAGAACACCGAUGGCGAAGGCAGCUCGCUGGGACGGUACUGACGCUGAGGCGCGAAAGCGUGGGGAGCAAACAGG
rnacentral:rRNA from 1 species